rnacentral:tRNA from 2 species
GCGAGGGUAGCCAAGCCGGCCAAAGGCGCUGGACUUAAGAUCCAGUUCUUAGUGAUUCAUGGGUUCAAAUCCCAUCCCUCGCA